UACGAAGGGGGCGAGCGUUGUUCGGAAUUACUGGGCGUAAAGCGCACGUAGGCGGAUAUUUAAGUCAGGGGUGAAAUCCCAGAGCUCAACUCUGGAACUGCCUUUGAUACUGGGUAUCUGGAGUAUGGAAGAGGUGAGUGGAAUUCCGAGUGUAGAGGUGAAAUUCGUAGAUAUUCGGAGGAACACCAGUGGCGAAGGCGGCUCACUGGUCCAUUACUGACGCUGAGGUGCGAAAGCGUGGGGAGCAAACAGG
rnacentral:rRNA from 1 species